CCUACGGGGGGAAGCCGUGGGGCAUCUUUCGCGCUUUGUGCCCCCCUGACGCAGCAACGCCGCGUGAUUGAAGAAGGCCUUCGGGUUGUAAAGAUCUUUAAACAGGGACGAAGAAAUGACGGUACCUGAAGAAUAAGCUCCGGCUAACUACGUGCCAGCAGCCGCGGUAAUACGUAGGUGGCAAGCGUUGUUCGGAAUAACUGGGCGUAAAGGAUGCGUAGGAGGUUAAACAAGUUAUAUGUUAAAUAUAUAGGCUUAACCUGUAGAAAGCAUAUAAAACUGUUUAACU
rnacentral:rRNA from 1 species